UACGAAGGGGGCUAGCGUUGCUCGGAAUUACUGGGCGUAAAGCGUUUGUAGGCGGUUAAGUAAGUCAGAUGUGAAAGCCUGGGGCUCAACCUCAGAAUUGCAUUUGAAACUACUUAGCUAGAGUAUGUUAGAGGAAAGUGGAAUUCCUAGUGUAGGAGUGAAAUCCGUAGAGAUUAGGAGGAAUAUCGAUGGCGAAGGCAGCUUUCUGGGACAUUACUGACGCUGAGAAACGAAAGCGUGGGUAGCAAACAGG
rnacentral:rRNA from 1 species